rnacentral:rRNA from 1 species
GGCAACCCUGACGGAGCAACGCCGCGUGUGGGAGGACGGCCUUCGGGUUGUAAACCACUUUUCUCAGGGAAGAAGGACUGACGGUACCUGAGGAAUAAGCCUCGGCUAACUCCGUGCCAGCAGCCGCGGUAAGACGGAGGAGGCAAGCGUUAUCCGGAAUUAUUGGGCGUAAAGCGUCCGCAGGGGGCACAUCAAGUCUGCUGUUAAAGGCUGGAGCUUAACUCCGGUAGAGCAGUGGAAACUGGUGUGCUAGAGGGCGACAGGGGUAGAGGGAAUUCCCAGUGUAGCGGUGAAAUGCGUAGAGAUUGGGAAGAACACCGGUGGCGAAAGCGCUCUACUGGGUCGCACCUGACCCUCAGGGACGAAAGCUAAGGUAGCG